AGCAGCCGCGGUAAUUCCAGCUCCAAUAGCGUAUAUUAAAGUUGUUGCAGUUAAAAAGCUCGUAGUUGAACCUUAGGCCCGUGCGGGUGGUCCGUCCUCUGGGCGAGCACUGCGUCGUCGCGGGUCUCACCUUCUGGCGAGCGUGGAUGCCAUUCACUUGGUGUCCGCGGGAACCAGGACCUUUACCUUGAAAAAUUUAGAGUGCUCAAAGCGGGCUCGUACGCUUGAAUACAUUAGCAUGGAAUAAUGAAAUAGGACGACGGUUCUAUUUUGUUGGUUUCCGGGACAGUCGUAAUGAUUAAUAGGGAUAGUUGGGGGCAUUCGUAUUCAAUUGUCAGAGGUGAAAUUCUUGGAUUUAUUGAAGACGAACUACUGCGAAAGCAUUUGCCAAGGAUGUUUUCAUUAAUCAAGAACGAAAGUUGGGGGAUCGAAGACGGUCAGAUACCGUCGUAGUCUCAACCAUAAACUAUGCCGACUGGGAAUCGGGCGAUGUUACUCUUUUGACUCGCUCGGCGCCCCGAG
rnacentral:rRNA from 1 species